rnacentral:rRNA from 1 species
ACUCCUACGGGAGGCAGCAGUGGGGAAUUUUGGACAAUGGGCGAAAGCCUGAUCCAGCAAUGCCGCGUGAGUGAAGAAGGCCUUCGGGUUGUAAAGCUCUUUUGUCAGGGAAGAAACGGUGAAAGCUAAUAUCUUUUGCUAAUGACGGUACCUGAAGAAUAAGCACCGGCUAACUACGUGCCAGCAGCCGCGGUAAUACGUAGGGUGCAAGCGUUAAUCGGAAUUACUGGGCGUAAAGCGUGCGCAGGCGGUUUUGUAAGUCUGAUGUGAAAUCCCCGGGCUCAACCUGGGAAUUGCAUUGGAGACUGCAAGGCUAGAAUCUGGCAGAGGGGGGUAGAAUUCCACGUGUAGCAGUGAAAUGCGUAGAUAUGUGGAGGAACACCGAUGGCGAAGGCAGCCCCCUGGGUCAAGAUUGACGCUCAUGCACGAAAGCGUGGGGAGCAAACAGGAUUAGAUACCCUGGUAGUCCCAUGA